CUUCUCUCUGCGUUGUGUUGAUAUUUUAACCAGACCGGACAACAAGAGAUUCUUUGGACCACUUUUUUUAUUCUGAAUGAAUAAAAAGGAAAAUUUAUGAAAAAAGUGUCAAUCCGUGGCCUUUCUCCACAAUUUCAACAUUGACCUUUCCCCAGCUGCGCUUACCGCGAACUGCCAUCAUAUUACAAUUAUUAAAUGAACUGCAUAUGAUUAAAUCAACAAUAUUUAACAUUUUUCUCAAUGUAAAACAUUUCACAUGAAUUCAAAACAACAAUAUUAACAGAAACAUGGAUAGAGAACAUACCUGAAUGAAUAAAAAGGAAAAUUUAUGAAAAAAGUUGUCAAUCCGUGGCCUUUCUCCACAAUUUCAACAUUGACCUUUCCCCAGCUGCGCUUACCGCGAACUGCCAUCAUAUUACAAUUAUUAAAUGAACUGCAUAUGAUUAAAUCAACAAUAUUUAACAUUUUUCUCAAUGUAAAACAUUUCACAUGAAUUCAAAACAACAAUAUUAACAGAAACAUGGAUAGAGAACAUACCUGAAUGAAUAAAAAGGAAAAUUUAUGAAAAAAGUGUCAAUCCGUGGCCUUUCUCCACAAUUUCAACAUUGACCUGCCAGUCAAAACAGAUAAUUUUAGCCACGGAACUUACACGGUUAAUAAACACCAAAAGAAAAUACAUACUUCAUGUUACCCAACCUCUAUUAGUGUUACAAUAAGAUUAAAUUGUAUUUUUAACAAAAAAAAUACAUAUUAGUCACAAGAAACAAACUAAUUUAAAACUUUUUAGUGAGAGCUCCAGCAGAACUCACCUUUCCCCAGCUGCGCUUACCGCGAACUGAAGGAAAACAACCGGAACCUAACUCUUAAAGGGGCCACGUACUAUAUUUUAACAAUUACAAAAUAACACUGAAAAAUUUACAUACAAGGAUAGAAACAGCUCAAAUAACAUUCCAGAUGAAAGAAAAAUUCCCAGAAUAUAAAAAUAAUUAUAUAAAUAUAAAAUAAUUGAUAAUAACAAAGGGAGGGAUUUUGUGUGAAAUUAAUAAAUUUAUAUAACACCUGUUACAC
ensembl:lncRNA